AAUACCGCAUAGGAGCUCCUGCUGCAUGGGUGGGGGUUUGAAAGUAUUUUUUGGUGGGGGAUGGGCUCGCGGCCUAUCAGCUUGAUGGUGGGGUGAUGGCCUACCAUGGCUUCGACGGGUAGCCGGCCUGAGAGGGCGACCGGCCACACUGGGACUGAGAUACGGCCCAGACUCCUACGGGAGGCAGCAGUGGGGAAUAUUGCACAAUGGGCGGAAGCCUGAUGCAGCAACGCCGCGUGCGGGAUGACGGCCUUCGGGUUGUAAACCGCUUUCACCUGUGACGAAGUUUUUUGACGGUAGCAGGAGAAGAAGCACCGGCUAACUACGUG
rnacentral:rRNA from 1 species